rnacentral:rRNA from 1 species
UACGAAGGGGGCUAGCGUUGCUCGGAAUCACUGGGCGUAAAGCGCACGUAGGCGGAUUGCUAAGUCAGGGGUGAAAUCCUGGAGCUCAACUCCAGAACUGCCUUUGAUACUGAGGAUCUUGAGUUCGGGAGAGGUGAGUGGAACUGCGAGUGUAGAGGUGAAAAUUCGUAGAUAUUCGCAAGAACACCAGUGGCGAAGGCGGCUCACUGGCCCGAUACUGACGCUGAGGCACGAAAGCGUGGGGAGCAAACAGGG